rnacentral:rRNA from 1 species
UGUUCCUACGGGGGGCAGCAGUGGGGAAUAUUGCACAAUGGGGGAAACCCUGAUGCAGCGACGCCGCGUGAGUGAAGAAGUAAUUCGUUACGUAAAGCUCUAUCAGCAGGGAAGAAAUACUGACCUUACGGUCAGCAGACGGUACCUGAGUAAGAAGCCCCGGCUAACUACGUGCCAGCAGCCGCGGUAAUACGUAGGGGGCAAGCGUUAUCCGGAUUUACUGGGUGUAAAGGGAGCGUAGGCGGUGCGCC